UCUCCGUAGGUGAACCUGCGGAGGGAUCAUUACAGAGUGCUCGCCCUCGCGGGUAGAUCUCCCACCCACUGUUAUCGUUACUGUGUUGCUUUGGCGGGCCGCCGGGCCCCGCUCGGCCGCCGGCUCCGGCUGGCGCGCGCCCGCCAGAGGCCCAGCAAACUCUGAAUGUUAGUGUCGUCUGAGUACUAUAUAAUAGUUAAAACUUUCAACAACGGAUCUCUUGGUUCUG
rnacentral:misc_RNA from 1 species